CUGGAAACCAUCAUGCAGACCAGUUACACUGCUUGGAAACCCCUACCCUUCCCAUCUUGAUUGGAAUAUCAAGGAUUCCAAUCGGUAGGUCGGAGCUCAGUAGAGAUGCCCUAUUGUCUUAAGCUUGACAAUGCUGAAGUCAAACAUUCCGAGGAUACGAAGAAUAAUGUUUUCUGGCAGAAACUGGCACAGCAGGCUGAGCCUUGAAGAGUGGUGUAUCAACCCAGGUCCUCUUGUCAGCUUUCAGUGAUGGUCCUCCAAGUACCAGAGUGUGAGAGCUGGUAGGGUCUGAGUGGUGUCUCACUUGGAGUGAGAGGCUGGUACACAGAGCCUGCUGACAUCCAGGAGAGCUCUGAGGGUCGAACUUAAGACUGCUGCUUACAGGGCUGCAAAAUGCUUGGCUUCAGUCAUCUGUGAGUCUUCAGAAUGAUUCAGGCAAGAAAUGUGUCCAAGGUUGUAAGGGCUCUUCUCCUUUGUUAUGCAACAGAAGCUUCUGCUAAGGACAGUGCCUUCCUGCCUUAGUCAUGCAUGAGUUUCUGAUAAGAUUGAGGGAAGCUGCAUCUAAGUCAUUCUUCAAGGCUUAGUCCUAAAGAGAAUUCCAGAGAUUGUAGAGCAACCUGAGGAGGGGAGGAAUGCACCACCAAAGGGACCAGUGGAGGAGGAGGUGCUGAUCUCUCCCUGGUGAUCAGUAAGAGGAAAUGGAAUGAAGCCAUGUG